UACAGAGGGGGCAAGCGUUGUUCGGAAUUACUGGGCGUAAAGUGUGCGUAGGUGGCCGCGCAAGUCGAGUGUGAAAUCCCCGAGCUUAACUUGGGAAUUGCGCUCGAAACUACGUGGCUCGAGUGUGGCAGAGGAAGGUGGAAUUCCACGUGUAGCGGUGAAAUGCGUAGAGAUGUGGAGGAACACCGAUGGCGAAGGCAGCCUUCUGGGCCAACACUGACGCUCAGGCACGAAAGCGUGGGGAGCAAACAGG
rnacentral:rRNA from 1 species